rnacentral:rRNA from 1 species
CUAGCUGCAUUAUUUGACGUUAGCGACAGAAGAAGCACCGGCUAACUCCCGUGCCAGCAGCCGCGGUAAUACGGAGGGUGCGAGCGUUAAUCGGAAUUACUGGGCGUAAAGCGCAUGCAGGUGGUUUGUUAAGUCAGAUGUGAAAGCCCGGGGCUCAACCUCGGAAUUGCAUUUGAAACUGGCAGACUAGAGUACUGUAGAGGGGGUAGAAUUUCAGGUGUAGCGGUGAAAUGCGUAGAGAUCUGAAGGAAUACCGGUGGCGAAGGCGGCCCCCUGGACAGAUACUGACACUCAGACUGCGAAAGCGUGGGGAGCCAAACAGGAUUAGAUACCCCUGGUAG